GCCAGCAGCUGUAAGCUCCAUGUGCAGGGCCACCAUCUGGCCGAGCACCUGCCAUGUGGUGAAGAUACAGUACAUACUUGUUGAAUGGGUGAUGAAACUUGCGCAGACCUCAAAUAAAAGCUAAUAAUUUAAUGUAUAAAGCUAACAUACCCUGGUUCUAAAACUUGACAAAGGUGUGAUAACUAUUGAAGACAUACGGUGUGCCCUGCACAGUUCUAAGCCCAGCACAUCUACAUCUAUUACCCCAUUAGUCCUCGCAACAAUCCUGUGAGGUGUAGGUCCUCGUGUCCCCACCUUUCUGGAUGAGAAAGCUGAGGCAGGAAGAGUUCAGCCAGGGCUGCAUAGCUGGUAGGGGCAGGGGCAGCGGCAGGAUUGAACCCAAGGCCGGCUGCCCUCAGAGCUGUUACUGAGCCUGUUGGCCACGUGGUAUGCAGGAACACUGUGUCUCACCUCCAGCAGGUGAAGCAGGCAUGGGAAUCCCAAGUGAAAUACCAGCACAUGGACAGCGGGCGAGGGUGAUGUGGGGCGAGGCAGCCUGUCAGCAUGAUUUGCCACAGCAAAUGCCGCAAGAGACGUGCAGGGUCCACAGAGGCCGAACAGGGCAGUUGAUGACAUUCAUCACCUGCUACUGAUUUGAAAACAUCACAAAUAUGAAUCAACUAGGAACCCAGAUUUCCCUAAUACUAGAGAGCAGCCAGCUGUCAGUGGCAUUUUCAGUGGAGAGAUGUUGGCAUCCCCCC
rnacentral:lncRNA from 10 species